rnacentral:misc_RNA from 1 species
AAAAAAAAAAAAGAAUAUAGGGCCGUCAAUGAAUUGAUUCAAUGAAACCUAAAUAAAUAUCCAGACCAAAACAUUAAAGGGCCCUGGAAACUAAGCUCCAAAAGGAUCAAUGACCAAUCUACUCCCAAAGCGACAAAUUCAAACCAUAAAGUAGACUUUCGUUAAACAACAGUUGAGAAGCCUAUAAUUUUUUUUUUAAUUUAGUUCAUGAUAGAUAAUUAAAAUUUAUUACAAGGCCCCGCCAUCUCAUACAAGGAAA